rnacentral:rRNA from 1 species
ACGGGGGCCCGCACAAGCGGUGGAGCAUGUGGUUUAAUUCGAAGCAACGCGAAGAACCUUACCAGGUCUUGACAUCCUUUGACCACUCUAGAGAUAGAGCUUCCCCUUCGGGGGGCAAAGUGACAGGUGGUGCAUGGUUGUCGUCAGCUCGUGUCGUGAGAUGUUGGGUUAAGUCCCGCAACGAGCGCAACCCUUAUUGUUAGUUGCCAUCAUUCAGUUGGGCACUCUAGCAAGACUGCCGGUGACAAACCGGAGGAAGGUGGGGAUGACGUCAAAUCAUCAUGCCCCUUAUGACCUGGGCUACACACGUGCUACAAUGGGAAGUACAACGAGUUGCGAAGUCGCGAGGCUAAGCUAAUCUCUUAAAGCUUCUCUCAGUUCGGAUUGCAGGCUGCAACUCGCCUGCAUGAAGCCGGAAUCGCUAGUAAUCGCGGAUCAGCACGCCGCGGUGAAUACGUUCCCGGGCCUUGUACACACCGCCCGUCACACCACGAGAGUUUGUAACACCCGAAGUCGGUGAGGUAACCUUUUUGGAGCCAGCCGCCUAAGGUGGGAUAGAUGAUUGGGGUGAAGUCGUAACAAGGUAGCCGUAUCGGAAGGUGCGGCUG